UGUUGACCCCAUAGAUAUCUUAUAUACACUAGAUAGCGCAUCUCUUUUAGUAAAAUUGAAGCCAAGAAUAUUCCAGCGGUUACCCCCAUUUGAAAAGAUGGCGGCCAUGUUGGUCGUUCCCACUUGCUAACAAACGCUUAAAAACAACAAUAACUUUCAUCAUUUGAAUACUUUAAAAACGUAUUUGGCAUAGGGUUAACUUCAUGUUUAAGUUCCGUGUUUAAGAAAUAGAAAAUAUACGAAUCUUCUCAUUUCAUGGGAACGACCUGAGACUGCAAUCACGGCUUCAAUUUUUGAAUUGCAGAAUAAUUAGAUGCACUAUCUAGUGUAUAUAAGAUAUCUAUGGUUGACCCGA